GCAUUAUAUCCUUUUAAUACAGAGAGGAAAGGAACCUCAGGGAUCAAGUUCAAUGCCUUUCAUUAUUUGAAUUUUAAAGUCAUCUUGACACGGUUAUGGAAUCCUGGAUUUGUGAGAGAAUUAUUGGGUUCCAGAUCUAAAAUCACCAGGAUUUAUCAAGUAUGGUGCCUGACGCAUAGUAAGUAUUUUUUUAAUGCUUGUUCCAUUAAAGUAACCGAACCACAUCUUAUAUUUGGCAAUUUGAUUACCUGCUCUGAGCUUUGUUUUUAAUAUGUGUACAACACAAAUUAUAUCACAAGGUAAAAUAAAUUCGCCAAGCUUUAAGCUCCCUAGAGUGUUUUACAGUGAUUUCUGAGAGUUCUACAUGGUACAUCUCAGAUGCUCAGAAAUCCUUUUCUCUUUCUUCAGCCUCCUCCUUCAGCUGCCCUGAGGCUGCCUUUGCUGGCUGCUUCUGCUACUGCUGCUCUGAGAAAGGGAACCGUGUUCUUGGUGUUGUGCUCUAUCCCUUUAACUUCUCACUGGUCUGCAGAGACCAGGCAGUAUCAGUUAAUUGGAUUUUAUCAAAAAUCCUCUGAUACUAUAUGAGGGACACAAUCUAGAGAAUCAUAUGCAGCCCUGCAGCUUUCUCCAGCCAGUCACAGAGUUGGUAUUCAAAAACUAAGAAUUACUGAUGUGCUCAGUAAUAGAAGCACUCUGAAACAAGAAAGCAGAUGUCCCAAUCCAGACCAAUUUUCCUCUUGAUGAAGCAUUAGAGAUUGAGUUCAGAACCACAUUUUUAUCCUUCAUAGUCCAUUGUCAGUAAUCAUGUAACGCGCUCUUCAUGGGUCUCAUUCCUAUACAUUUCAGAAUGUAGCUUCUAUUACUCUCAAUCAGUCUUUUUAUCAUCUUCUCCAAAUCUAGCUAAAGACUUCCUUCCAGGCAGUGUUGUAGGUGCUGUAAGGCUAGAGAAGACAAUCUAUGAGGCUGAAAGGUGGCAGGUUCGUAGGAAUCAGUCACAGAAAUCUGGACCAAUGUCAUGGAGUUCAGGGGACCAAAACACUUCUCACUGAGAGCACUGGAGAAGAAUUCAUAGAGGAGGAGGAGUGAAGCUGCGGACCUUCGCGGUAGGGAGGUAUGUUUAACAAGUGAAAUUACUCACAAACUCCAUUGUGAACAAUAUUUUCUAAUGACCUAUGCAUUGAUUUAUUUUUCUGUGGGGAGGGUAGCAAGGCUGGUGGAAGACAUACACAUGAAAUCUUACGAUAAAAUUAGCCUCAACCUUUAUUAUCAAGUAUCUAUAUCAAUAAGAUUAAAUAGCAGAGAAAGCUGCAGAGAGAGAUAAGAAUGAAGCAGCCCCGUUUUGAGCCCUAGCUGCACACCUGCUCAUGGUUCAGUGAAGCAUGCCUGUAUCCUGCGAGUUCUAACUAAUAUAUCCCUUUAACGUCAGCUUAAGAGCUAGAUCCCAUUCGAAAAGCAGAUCUCUGUAAGCAUGGGAGGUGGAGAGGAAAGGCAGCAUAUGUCAUUAUUUGUGAUAUAGACUCAUCCAAUCUUAAAACUGCAAUAAUUUUUAAAGAGCUUCUACUUUAGCCUCAUUUUAUUGGCAGUGAUAUUGAAUCUCAAAAAGAGGAAACACAUUUUACCAGUUUUAUUUAUUCCUAAAGAUUUGCCUUAAAUGUCACCUCAUUUAUAUAAUAUUUACAGAAUAUCACAAUCAAAACUAAAUUCUCUCCUUUGUACUCUAUGAAUUUGGAUUUGACAUAUUAAAGAUUGAAUCACUAUCUUUUUAUUAGAAUUCCCUGUGUAUAUGUCUAUUCCUCCUGCUCCUGAGUUCUGGUGGCUCAGAGAAUGUGUUGUUUGUUGUAUCCUCAAUAAGAACCUGAUAUCCAAGGGCUUGGACUAUAGCUGUUUAAUGAACUGAAAUAACUGGACCCAUUUACCAUCAACAUUUGGGCAUCAAGGAUAGAUUUAAGAAAGACCCUAAAAACGUUAAUAAAAACAAAAUUUAAGAUGGAAAUUAUUUUCUGGAGCUUUAAACUCUUAAAAUAACAACAAUAAUCACUACUUAGUUAUCACUUACAUGUGCUAGCACUUAACAUAUGUGAUUUCUAAUAUCACAAAAACCCUAUAAAACUGGAAGAACACAAACGGCAAUAGGCCUUCUAAAAAUUCUUGUUAGGGAAAACAGAUUUAUGGAAUAAAGCUUAUGCAUUUAUACAGAGUUGCUUGAUUUAAAUUUCAAAGCUGAAGGUUAUAGAUGUAGUAUUUCAACCCAUUUCCAUCACUUCCUCCAUUCCCUGCCAAUCACCAUUGUACUGUGUUUCUCGAAGUUUGAUCUUUGAAGAUUCCACAUAUAAAUGAUAUCAUAAAAUAUUUGUCUUUCUGUGCCUGGCUUAUUUCACUUAAUAUAACCUCCUCCAGUUUCAUCCAUGUUGUCACGACAGAAUUUCCUUUUUUAAAAAAAGGCUGAAUAAUAUUCCAUUAUGUAUACAUGAAAUAGAUAAUUCCAUGAACAGAACUCUAAAACUAAUAUAUAACUAACACCUUGAGUAAGCAAGACUUUUUGAUAUUUAAGUGGUUUUGGUGAGAAACUUUCUAGAGUCAUUAAACAUUACCUUACUUUAACAAACAGUAGGAAACUAAGAACUAAUAGAAACUAGGAAUCUUGACUAGUUUCCUUGCCUAGAGGAAUCAUUGUAAGUAAUUAUUAUACUUUCAUGUCACAUGUGAGUGCUCUGGUAGCUGGAUGUGCAGUUUUUGAGUGUGAGGAGCUAUUAAGAGCAAUCUAAGACUAAAAUGGAAGAUUUCAGGGAUUCUAGAAGAUAAUAUCUUAGCUGUGGUUUGCAGUUUAUGGUAACAUUAAAUUCAUGCUACCCAUAAUAAAUUGCGGAUCCCAGUUCAGAAAAAUAUCCCAAGCUCCUCUAAGUCAGACCCUUUGAUUUCAAGGAGAAAAGGAUGUCAUUUUAUAGCAAUUCUCCGUAUCUCACCAUGGAGGGAUGUCUUAUUACACAAUGUAGGCGUGAGGAACCAGAGUGUGAGGAAAAGAGAUUAAGCCUAGGGAAAUCUGACUGACUAUUAUUUUAACCUGGGUAGUGAGUGAAUUAUUUUAACCUGGGUAGUGAGUGAAUUAUUUUAACCUGAGUUGUGAGUGAAUUCUCUUCUUUGUGGAUUUUAUAUUUUGUAAGCUCUGCUCUCAUAGAAGGACUUUAAAUUAGAUCCUUACUAUGACUAGUAAAAAAUUGAGUUUUUAAAAAAGAACUCCAUCUUUACUUGCUGUCCCCCAGCUUAACUUAGCUUCACUAAAUGCCUUCUUGAGAAAGCAGAACUACCCUUCUGGUUGAGAGAAAAAUUGUUACUAGUUUCUGGUAACCAUUUACCUGAGAUACUCUGUAGAGGAAUUCAAUUAAACCCGCAAAUAUUGACUCGGUGUCUAGUCUCAUUGGGACACAUUAGCAGGGAGGUGGGGUGUAAUAGGCAGGGUGAAAUGAGAGGAAAUAAAAAAAGCCACUGAGCUAUACUGCAGAGUCAGCUGAAUUAUUAUGAACUCAUCUUUCAUUUUCCUGCCAUCAGUUAUGUGCAAAUUAGACAAUCUCUUAUGCCUAUAAAUUGCUUAAACUAAGUUUGUGCUGCAAAUGGUGCCAGUGGCUUUAGAUGUGGCUGUCUCAGCUGAUAAUGAGGUUUACAGGGUCUGUGAGGAUUAUUUUCUAGAGCAGGCAAAGUCUGCAGCAAUCAAACCUGAAAUGCUUCUUAGAUAAAAAUGUGUGACUUCACUGGUCUCAGGUACUCAAAUAUCAGAAUUUUUUUUAAUCCCUGGUUCUCUUUAACUUUUUAUGGACUUCUUAUGAGGUUGGUAGUCCAAAGCUACUAUUAGUCAGUCCAGUGGUAGCUGCCUGUUGGGCUAAGUAGUCUCUGAGAAAAACAACAGAGUAAAUGAUCUAAUAAUUAACUGGGUUACUUUUCAUAAGGUCUCUUGAUCUGAUAAUGGUAGCAGGCCCAGCCAAACCUAUAAGUAAGAUUCUAAUGCAGAAAUCAAAAGACAUUUAUCUAGCUCUUCAUGUGGAAGAAUUUGGAGAAAGAAGGCAAAUAAAUGCCUGAUACUCCAUUCACAAGUGUGUUCGUACCUGUGAAGCUGAGAGCAGCACAGGGUGAUGUGGUAGGAAGUGCGUGAGCUUCUCAGUCAGGCUCACCUGGGUGAACUGGCUCAGCUGCUCUCAAGCCAUCAAAACUUCAUCUUGAUCUUGAGCUGAGUGCAAACGCCAACCCUCAGUUUUCUCAUUUGUAAAGGGGAUUUAGUAAUAGUUACAUAAUAUUCACUCACUUCAAUCAUUCACAAGUCAACAGAUAUUUACUGAAUACCUAUUAUGAUACAGACAUUAUUCUAAUUAUUAGGAAUGCAGCCAAGGAUAAAAAUAACAAUAUAUGGUUACUAUCUCUAUGGACUUGAGGUGUACUGAAGAAGACAGCAUUUUAUAGAUAAUUAUGCAAAUAAUUAAAAUGUUGAUGAAGGCUAUGGGGGAUGAUAUAGUUAAAUAUUUGUCCUUGGUCAAAUCUUAUGUUGAAAUAUUAUAAUCUCCAAUAUAUUGGAAAUAUUAGAGGUGGGGACUAGUGGGAGCUGAUUGGAUCAUGGGGGUGGAUCCCUCAUCUAUGCCUUAGUGCUGUACUCAUGAUAGUCAGUGAGUUCUCAUGACACCUGGACAUUUAAAAGUGGGUGGCACCUCCCCUGUCACAUUCUCUGUUGCUCCUCUUCUCUCCGCGUGAGUGCCUGCUUCUACUUUGCCUUCUGCCAUGAGUAAAAGCUCCUUGAGGCCUCUCCAGAAGCUGAGCAGAUGCCAGUGCCAUGCUUAUACAGCCUGCAGAACCGUGAGCCAAUUAAACCUCUUUUCUUUAUAAAUUACUCAGUUUCAGGUAUUUCUUUACAGCAACAAAAGAACAGCCUAAUACAGGAAAAUGAAAACAUCUUGAUUUGGGGGAAUGUUUGGGAGAUCAAAAUAUCUUGAUUUGGGGCAUGUUCGAAAUCAAAAAUCUUGAUUUUGGGGCAAUCAAAAAGUUCUAAAAUUGAGACAAAAAGGAUGAGCAGGGUGAGUUGCCUUACGGGGUUGUUGAGAGGAUAAUGGACUUUGCUUAUUGGAGUGCCUAGCAUAGCAGCUGGGACAUGGUACUCAGUGAUAACAAUGAGAACGAUAAUAUUGGACUCGGUGACUGCCCACUUCAGUCACUUUGGGGUAUUCCAAGAAGUGAGUGUCCCCAUCAUCUUUCCCUUUCCCAGCUCAGAUCUCUUCCUAGGGCACAAAGCCCUGCUUCCCAGGAUUAGACGGAAAAUCCACAGAGAUUUAUUCUAAGUUACUCCAUGCUAUGUUGUUAUUGAAUAAUGUAAACUCAGUCCUGAGACUGAUAGAAAUAACACAGGAAUCAGUUAUUCCAAUCUAUGCUAAGUAACUAAUAAUUGAUAUAAUAUCCCAUCCUGAGAGCAGCUUUUAUUAAAGGGGAGAAAACAUAAGAAUGAUUCCUGAGAAUGGAAGAAAAAUGAUUCCUGAGAAUGGAAGAGGCAGCGCAUAGUGGGAGUAUGUGUGUGAAGGGGAGGAAGGGGUAGAGAAUGUCAAACAGAGAUCCUAGGAGCUCUCACACUGAGGUAAUAGGAAAAGGUGGGGGUGUCUGAAAGCAUGCUGGUGCUUCCUGAUGAAUUUAUCCAGGAAGCCUGUAGGAUGUCUAUUUUCUGAUGGCAAAAGUGGUUCCUGCCACAUUCACGAUCCAUGAAAUUUUUUAGUUAAACAUGACCACAUCAGUGGUCCCUCAUGUUUCUUUGGAGUUUUGAACUGAGGUUAUUCCACAGUCACAUCACCUCUGUUCGUCUCCUCCAUCCUGGAGACCACUGACUGGUGCCAACUGUGCCAGUAAGAAGACAUUGUUUCUGUAUUGUUGGGCCUUCUGAAGACCGAGAGAAAACUAGACUCAUCUUUCCAUCUGCCAUCUAUCUAGACUUUUUGAGCACCUGUUAAUUCUUGGUCCUGAGUUAGAAGUUGUGGAUAAAGAAUAAAUCAAAAAGAGUUUCUGCUCUCAGAGAGUUUACAAUCUAGUGUUUCAAUGGAGCAAAGUAGCAGGACCUGUGAGAGCACAGAUGAAGAAAUGACUAACUUGGCACAGUGUACUGGGAAAAGGAAGGUAUUUGCAUAGACCUUGAAAUGAGGUCUGCCUACCAGAAAGGUGGGUGAUGUAUUCUAGGCAGAGCAUAUCCUGUGAAAAUGCCCAGCAGAAUGAGAAAGAACAUAUUUGUUAGAUGAAGUGAUCCAUGAAACAGACAUAUUUAAGAAUCAUUAGUUUAAUUAAAUGUAUUCUGUUUUGAGUCCCUUUGAGUGGUGCAGAAAGAGAGAAAAGGAGAAAGAGAGGGAAAGAAAGAGGGGGAAGGAGGGGGGAUAAAGGGAAAAGGAAGAUUUGCUGUGAGCCAGGUUGAGUCAGUGCCGUGCCCUGUAAGGGAGCAUAAACAUCUUCAGGUAUAACCCAAGCCACGGGCUCCAAAUGCGGAGUUUGAAUACAAGAAGCAAAAUAUAGUCUUUUGAAAUCUUCUUUUUCCUUUUCUUUGUUAAGCCAAAUAAUACAAUUUGCUACACACAUUUCAAGGUAGCUUAGAAAUGGAAUAGCUUCACCACGAGCCUUUCUGCAGAGGACAGCCUGAGAGUCAAGUGAGAAAGUGACAGCCAGAAGCUAGUCCAUCUCAGGCAACAGAGGAAAUCUACUGCAUUGCAGAGUCCCAGGGACGACCUAAUGGAAAACAACAGCGAGAGUGUGAGCCAGGGCUCUGCUGGUGGAGUGGGGAAAUGCAGCUGCAAUUCCAGGACACACAGAGACUGCACAUGUGCAGAAGCAUGCAGAGAGAAUGUUUGCAUCUUUCCUGUAAGGCAUGGCUUGACUUUGCUUCUAUGAGACACUGACUGAGUGGAUUAGAAUCUCUCCAUGGUUUAUCAUUCCUGCUUACUGGAUGAAACCAGGUCUGGAAUCAGCAAAAACUGAAAUCCUCAAUCAUUGUUUCACAAAUGUUCUACACAUUGGAAUCACCCUAUGAGUUUUUAAAAAUGCUAACAUCUGUGUGGCAUCCCCGGCAAGUCUGAUUUAGUUGAUAUAGGGUGCAUCCCAGGCAUUCAGAGUUUCAUACAUUCCCCAGCUGAUUCUAAUGGGCAACAAAGCUUGAGAACUGUUGAUAUUUUGAUCCUUGCUAUUCAAAUAUAGCUCAUGAACCAGUAGCAUUAGGAGCCCCUGGAGCUUGUUAGAAAUGUAUGUAGAAUCUCAGCCCCCUUUCUGAACUCUGUCCUACUGAAUCAGAAUCUGCAUUUUAACAUAAUCCUCAGAUAGUCCUGUCCCAUAUUAACGUUUGAAAAGCACUUGUGUAAAUUAGUGAUUUUUUAAACUUUUAUUUUAAGUUCAAGGUCACUUUUGGCAUCUUUGUUAUGAAAUCUUUGCCUGUUGCUAAGUCUAGAAUGGUUUUCUUCCAGGGUUUUUAUCGUUUUGGGCUUUACAUUUAAGUCUUUAAUCCAUCUUGAGUUAAUUUUUGUGUAUCGUGUAAGAAAGGGGUCCAGUUUCAAUCUCCCACAUAUGGCUAGCCAGUUAUCUCAACACCAUUUAUUGAAUAGGGAAUCCUUUCCCCAUUGCUGGUUUGUGUCAGCUUUAUCAAAGAUCAGAUGGUUGUAGGUGUGGGGCCUUAUUUCUGGGCUCUCUAUUCUAUUCCAUUUGUCUAUGUGUCUAUUUUUGUACAAGUACCAUGCUUGGUUUUGGUUACUGUAGCCCUGUAGUAUAGUUUGAAGUCAGGAAUCUCCCCAGCUCCUUUUCGCACAUGUAGUCAAACCCAACUAAAUCUGGUGUUUAAGACCCUCUGCCACCCCACAUUAUCUUUUUUACUUUUCCUAAGCUCUCAGUCCUCAGUCCACUGGACUAAUUCCUGCUCCUGAAACACAUACUGAGCUCUCCCUUUCCUGUCUUUGCUCAGAAUCCCUUCCCUUUGCUCUGCACUGCCCACCUUAGUAAUCAUCCAACAUCCAACCUGAGUGCAACAUCUCCAUGCAGCUUCACCAGCUGCUGCCGUCAGAUCAUCAUAAUCAACUCUUCUUUCUCAUGCUUGCCACCUCUAUAAUCCCAUCUGCCUUCUGUUGGAACUCCUUGGGGAGAUGUUGACACAUUCUUCUUGAUGGUGUCUUCUUGGCAGCAGGGGAGCAGAACUCUAAGGCUACAACUUAAUUACAGGGUGAUAUCCACUAAGAUUCUUUCCUUUCUUAUCAGACUCACAUUUAAGGUCCAAAAUGAGAAUGACAAGUGCUAAACAUCUCACAUUUUAAGUUUCCUAGCUAUCACCAGUUGGGGCAGCCACCUUCCUGGAAGAUUUCCUGAAAGACACCAGAACUAACCCAACCAUCACAGGCCCUGCAAUAUAGCAGCUUCUCAACCAACAUGGGGCUAAACAAGGAAGAGGAAACUGCAUUUUGAAGGAUGUUACUUUCUGCAGAAAAGUGCUCCUCUUUCUACAAGGUAGUGAAGAAGAUGACUUCCAGGAGAAUCUCUCCAAAUGAUGUGGAGAGCCUGUGAGAUGGACACUGUCAUUUUCUGUCCUUCUUUGCCUUAUUUGCUGGUGAACUUGACUAUCACCCACCCGCCAUGCAGCCUACAUAGCCCAAAAGAGAAUUAGAAGACAGAUCAUGAAACUGAGUAGGGGGAGUUGAAGCAAUGCAGUGAGCAUUCUCACUCUCCGUCCUGAUAAGAAUAUAAAUUCCCUAAGAGCUUAGUGAAGACUGUGGAACAUAGCUUGGAUUUAACUGUCACUUAUGAGUUCAUCCAGGAUGGUCACCUGCUGGGAGAUUGGGCUCUGGCAUCAACAGGGCAAGGGGUAGACCUUCUUUUGGUCCAUAAAGGGAAGAUGGAUGAGCAGUUCUCCUGAUGAAAAAGAUAUUCUGAGGAUGUGGCAAUUAGGGGCAUGAGGGGACAGGUCUGAACAUCAGAAAGAAACCAAGAGGAUUUAUCAGUGCUUCAGCAAUUCCACCCCGAAGUAGGUGAUAGGGCAACCAUGGAUGCCACAGGGAGUGCAUGUUUGUAAGUGGUGUGAGUACUGGGGAUUGAUGAGUGUUUCAGCAAUGCCAUCCCUCUCCCUCUUGGGAGAGGACACACUGGGACAGGAUCUUCUACGUCAGUGUGGUGGAAAGAACCUCUGGAAGGCUCACUCAUAUAUGCUACCCCCACCCCUCUGGAAAUUCACCCAAAGAACCUCAAUGGCCAUUAGCAUGAGAAGUAGCAAUGGCCAAAAAAGAAGGAUUAUAAUGUUUCCAAUCAAGUAAGAGAAAGAUACUGGACCUUGCUCUGUCCAACCGUCAUUGCUCAGGAUCUGCCACAUCUGAGAGACUGCUGCCUGGAAGAGGGAGAGGGAUGUCAGGCUGUCCAAAAGGCAGGCCAACCUCCUCACUGCCCUCCCCAGCACCCACUCUGCACUGCAAGCUGGAGUUCUAUCCUGUAUUGGCAAAGGAGAAAAGAAGAGCUUUGAUCAAGAAUGAGCUCAUAAUAUUUAAAUGAAGCCUGUAUGCCAGAAGUUUGUGUACCAGAAUAAGACUCCCCUAAUAACUUUUAAGUGACCAAAAAGUCAAGGCAUCAGACCAAAAUGCCACAUCAAGGGAGGUAUUACCCAUUAGGAAAGGGGAGUGACACAGCACAGUUGGGAAACAGGUUUUGGAGUAACAUAAAGC
rnacentral:lncRNA from 1 species